rnacentral:rRNA from 1 species
UUGAACUGAAGAGUUUGAUCCUGGCUCAGAUUGAACGCUGGCGGCAUGCCUUACACAUGCAAGUCGAACGGCAGCACGGACUUCGGUCUGGUGGCGAGUGGCGAACGGGUGAGUAAUACAUCGGAACGUGUCCUGGAGUGGGGGAUAGCCCGGCGAAAGCCGGAUUAAUACCGCAUACGCUCUAUGGAGGAAAGCGGGGGAUCGCAAGACCUCGCGCUCAAGGGGCGGCCGAUGGCAGAUUAGCUAGUUGGUGGGGUAAAGGCCUACCAAGGCGACGAUCUGUAGCUGGUCUGAGAGGACGACCAGC